rnacentral:rRNA from 1 species
AGCAGCCGCGGUAAUUCCAGCUCCAAUAGCGUAUAUUAAAGUUGUUGCAGUUAAAAAGCUCGUAGUUGAAUUUCGGGGUUCAUACGUUGGUCGGGCUUUUUGGUCUGUACUGGCGUAAUGGAUUCCUACCUUCUGAAUAACCGGCAUGUCAUUAAUUUGGUGCGCCGGGGAAGCAGGACUGUUACCUUGAAAAAAUUAGAGUGCUUAAAGCAGGCUAUCGCCUGAAUACAUUAGCAUGGAAUAAUGAAAUAGGACGGCAUGGUUCUAUUUUGUUGGUUUCUAGGAUCACCGUAAUGAUUAAUAGGGAUAGUUGGGGGCAUUAGUAUUCAAUUGUCAGAGGUGAAAUUCUUGGAUUUAUUGAAGACUAACUUCUGCGAAAGCAUUUGCCAAGGAUGUUUUCAUUAAUCAAGAACGAAAGUUAGGGGAUCGAAGACGAUCAGAUACCGUCGU